rnacentral:rRNA from 1 species
AGAGUUUGUUUCUGGCUCAGGAUGAACGCUGGCGGCGUGCUUAACACAUGCAAGUCGAGCGAAGCACUUAAGUUUGAUUCUUCGGAUGAAGACUUUUGUGACUGAGCGGCGGACGGGUGAGUAACGCGUGGGUAACCUGCCUCAUACAGGGGGAUAACAGUUAGAAAUGACUGCUAAUACCGCAUAAGACCACAGGGUCGCAUGACCCGGUGGUAAAAACUCCGGUGGUAUGAGAUGGACCCGCGUCUGAUUAGCUAGUUGGUGGGGUAACGGCUCACCAAGGCGACGAUCAGUAGCCGACCUGAGAGGGUGACCGGCCACAUUGGGACUGAGACACGGCCCAAACUCCUACGGGAGGCAGCAGUGGGGAAUAUUGCACAAUGGGCGAAAGCCUGAUGCAGCGACGCCGCGUGAAGGAUGAAGUAUUUCGGUAUGUAAACUUCUAUCAGCAGGGAAGAAAAUGACGGUACCUGACUAAGAAGCCCCGGCUAACUACGUGCCAGCAGCCGCGGUAAUACGUAGGGGGCAAGCGUUAUCCGGAUUUACUGGGUGUAAAGGGAGCGUAGACGGCAUGGCAAGUCUGAAGUGAAAACCCGGGGCUCAACCCCGGGACUGCAUUGGAAACUGUUGAUCUGGAGUGCCGGAGAGGUAAGCGGAAUUCCUAGUGUAGCGGUGAAAUGCGUAGAUAUUAGGAGGAACACCAGUGGCGAAGGCGGCUUACUGGACAGUAACUGACGUUGAGGCUCGAAAGCGUGGGGAGCAAACAGGAUUAGAUACCCUGGUAGUCCACGCCGUAAACGAU